UUACAUCAUCGCUAGGUAGGCAUCACACACAAUCCUACCAUAGUGUUAAGAAUAUAACUUAGGUGUAUAUCUUGUUUCUGUAGAACAGUAGAAGAAAGUCCAUUGAGCCCAUGUAGCUGUAUGUAUAUCUUCUUCAGAGGAAUAGAGAACAAGCGACUUUGGCAAUUACAUUAUUCUUAACACAUUCAACCGGCUAAGUGGCCCAUGCCUGAUAUUUGCAGGUGGAAUGUCCUUGGGAGCUGUCUCCGCUCAUUUACACCAAGCACAUUUGAUGAGAGAGGCUGCUUUGGAUGCAUCCCUUCCAGCUCAGACCAAAGCAAAGCAAGAGGGCUGAGUUCAUUCUCUCUAGGGGCAUCCUGCUUGGGCAAAUUAGCUUCUUCCAGUCCCACCCCAGAACGGGAAUCCAGUGAUGUCAAUUGGAAAUCUGCACGGUCCUUAUCAAAAUCUGGUGGAGAUUGACCCAUGCGCUGGUAGGCCUCCCAGUGUACAACACUUGUGUAGCAAGUACAGAAAAGAAAUGUGAGCAUUCAGACAUAGAUAGAGCAAGAGAAUGUGACGAAAAAUACAGUAGUACUAUAUAACUGAAAAGAAAGGAAACUAACCUUCAGCAUCCUGACUCACAGUUUCAGGAAUGCGCUGCUGACGAAUAUCUGGGUUUGCUUCAGUCUUUUGUGCUUCAAUUGAGGGGAACCAACCAGUACGUGACUGUACCGGUGCUUCCUGGUCACCUCUUGUAGGACUGGCUGCAUAAUUUCCAGAGUCCGCCUUAGAUGUCUGACCACGCUCCCGAAAAGAACCGCAAGUACUGGGCGCAUCUUCAAAAUUGUUAUGUACAGAAUCCGGAGAUUCAGCACUUCCACCACGGGAUACAGGUGGAAUAGAUUGGGGCUUUACUAUGCGCAUGAGGUCAGAAAGUGGGCGAAAAGGAGCAUCAUCUGGAGCCUGAGCUAGACGCACAGGUAGCUGGUGUGCUGGAAUGAUGCUUUGGCCUCGAAGUUGAACAUCUAAAUUUCAAUUUGGAGGUCAACAAGAGUAUGAGCUGUUCACUGCAACAUCGCAUGAUGUAUUUAAUGCAAGGCAAUAGUUAAUUCACCGCGUUUCCAGUUUUAAAAUGUAGUACUACAUGUGGUUGGCAAGAUGCCUGGCAUUAUUGUUCAGAUCACUAAUUUAGUGAUCUAAAUGCUCUUAUAUUUCUUUACGGAGGGAGUACUUCUAAUUAGCUUCUAUAUUUCAGAACUCGGAGCAUAAACUACUUGUUAGUUAUGCUUACAUCAGUCUGUCCCAGAGGCUACAUGCACAUGCUAAUUCAAUACUUCCCGUACUUAAAAUGACAUUAUUGAGCCAUCAUUAGGUGAGUCGACAACUAGCAAGCACAAUCUCACACACAAACGAGAGGAGGACGCUGUGCACAGACAAAGAAUGGCUAGACACUACUCCCUCCAUUUUAAAAUAGAUGAUUCAACUUUGUACUAACUUUAUAUUAAAUGAUAUCUCUACGAGUACUAACUUUAUAUUAGAUGAUAUCUCUACGAAUUGGUGAUGAUAGUGUGCCUGCUUUGCUUUGGUUCGUCGAUGAUCAGGAUCUGCACCCAACGAACAGGAAGCAACGUGUGGCAAAUUUUGCAAAAAACACCCCCUACUCCGUGAACAUUUACACACAAGCCAUGUCAUCCCCAUCUCUCCGGUCAACAGCUCAACUCCAUCUCUCCCCCGAGGCUCUAACCCGUCCGACCAUCUCCAAUCUCCAGGAUAGGGGGAAAAGGAGGCGCCACCGCCGGCAGCGUUGAAAUCGAUCCGGUCAGAUGGCCGCUGCCGGCGCCGUCCGACCCCAGCCCCAUGCCUCCACUCAGCCUCAUUGCCCGCCGCCACCCCGACCACAUCCUCCCCGUCAUCUCCUCCGCCCCUUUCCCCGUCUUAUUGGACGCCGAUCUUGGCAAGCAGGACGCCGACGCAUCUACUGCCUCCUCGCGUGCCACAGCAAGACCACCGGCGACCAUCACUCCCACCUCUCCCUCCUCGCAAUCCCCUCUCCCCGACCCAUGGCUGCACCGAUGCCGACCGCCGCCGACGCAGUAUGUUCCCGGGCGUCUCUUUUAUCUCUUCAUAUGCUGCAGAGGUCCCAUCGACCACCUCCUGCUAUCGCCACCACCCGCCCCCUUCCCCUUCUCCUCCAAUGCUGACUGCUGCAAGUACGCCGCCGGCUACGAGCUGCUCUCUGCGGCGGCGGCGCCACCCGCUGCUCGUUAUCCUUCCCUCUGACUUACUAUGCUUGGCUACUGCCCCACCUCCACAAUCCUCGUCCUGCCCACCCGUGCCGCCUCCCAGAUUUAAAUUUUCUGUCACCCAACUUUAAAUCCGCGUGCCCAGGCCGAACUCUCUAGAAACCACUCUUGCAGCCCAAUACAUAUAUCAAUUUUUCUGUGACCCAGAGUUCAAAUUCGCCCGCCAAUGUUGAGUUAUCUAGAAACUACUCUUGCAGACCAAUAUAAAGCAAAUGGGUAGGCAUAUGUGACUCACGCUGCCUCAAAUACACCCAAAGAAGCCACGCGCUGGUCACAACAAUCUUCAGAUUGAACGGACUUCACCUUCUGAUCUCCUUCGUCAAGGACCAAGACUGGAUUGGUUCAUGUGCUCUGGGUAUCCCUUUUUCCCAUGUGAAAGGAGGCAUUGGACAUUACAAAUCAUUGAACAAUUAAAUGAUUUCUUUUUAGUUCCACCUCCUACUAUGUAGAAAAGAUACCAGGUAUUCCUUACACUUGAAAUCUUGAAGUGGUUAAUUGAUACUAUUGACCAAAUGCGCAUUGUUAGACAUUUAGUUCCAUCUUGUAGCUAUGUAGAAAAGAUACCAGAUAUUGCUUACAAUUGAAAUCUUGAAGCAGUUGCUUAAGCUGACCAAAUAUGCAUUUGUACUUAAUAUAUAAGCACAUAAAUACUCAGUACUGGCUCCAAUUACAAUUGGAUUUUGGUUCUUACCAAAUCACUUAUUUUUUUAAAUGACGAUCCACAUGGCAGGUCCAGAAGAUACUUGAUAAGCUCAGAAAUUAGAAGUCUCCAGGAGUAUGAGACAUUUAGAGAUUGGUAAUUGUGAUUAGAUAUUUAUAAGGAGUGCAACUGGCUUCAUAUUUCACUGUUUUUGGCUAACCUCAUACUCUGUUAUGUUUGUCUUGGGGGAAAUCAGGUCUUCGUACCUAAAAAAGUUAUAUGUGUGUUUGGAUUGUUCUUUUAGUAGUUGCCUUUGUUACCCCAUCUGUUCAAAAAAAUCGGACAACGUCGACAGCAGGUUGCUUUGUCAUGAACGCAUUUCUUUGCUUGGUAGCUCCACAUCCAAUUUUCAGGCCAAACCCUGAAUAUUUAUUUCUUUUCUGUCUGUUAUCGACAUUUUUUUCUUUGCAGAAACCUGUUGAUGUAAGAAAGUUACAAGUAGUCCAGUACUAAUAUUUUUAUAUGUACACACAUGUGCACUCACCCCUUCUAUAUACAUAUGAUUCAAAAACAUCUUUUACAUUUUGUUUCUUUGCUCCUGUACAAAAUGUACUACAAGUGUUGUUCAUUGUUUUUUCCUUUGCCUAAAUAUACUACAAAGUACAUACCCUCUAUAGGCUCCUUGUUUCUUUCUUUCUCUACAUAUAGUACAAAGUACUGAUUAUCUGAUGUCCUUUUAGGUGAGAAGAUGGAUGAAGCCUGAGCUCGAGGGCCAACAUUGUUAGCACAGAUGUUUUGAGCAAACAACUAAAAGAAGGGUAUACUAUGCUUGACACACAUGAUUCCAUGGCCUGAUAGAUGCCUAAGGUUGUAACUAAGUAAUUGGAACUAGCUGUAUGAGUCAUGCUUAAGGUAUGCUUGACACACAUGAUUUCAUGGCCUGAUAGACUUGGGCUUCCACUAUGGCACACAAGUGGAGAUGACUGCCUUUUGACCAUGAUCUUGAGAGUUAUGAACCUUUAUGACACUAAUGGUUCUCAAGUUCGGCAAGAGUUUGUACAAAAGAUAGGGAAAGUGUUUGACGCUAUACUGGAAAAGACGGGCAAAUUAAGGAAAGAAACCAAGGGAGAUAUUUAUAUAGCUAAGGCCAUUGCAAUCGUUUUGGAGAGAAAUCCACACUUAGGCAAAAGGUCUAGAUAUACGCCUUGGUCACAGGUAUGCAUAUCUAUACUUCCGCUCUAAAUGUUAUAAGCAUGGUUCCCCACAUCCAACAUAUGUUUCAGAAUCAUCUUUAUUACUCGCAAAAAGAUCAUCUUUUACUUUACCUUUUGUUUCUUUGCUCUGUACAAAAUGUACUUGGAGUGUUGUCCAUUUGUUUUUUGUUUCCUUUACCUAAAUAUACUACAGACCCUCUCCAGGUUCCUUGUUUUUGUUUCCUUUGUCCAAAUAUACUGCAGGUGCUUGUCUGAUGUCCUUUUAGGUGAGAAGAUGGAAGCGAGAGCCCAAGUAUUAAGUCAAACACUUCUAAUUCAUUCUUGUUUCUUUCUUCUGGACCAUUUAUAAUUGUGUCCUCACUCCUCAGGCUAUAGUAUGUAUGUUAUUCUGAUAUACUAAUUGCAGCCAUUUAUCUUCGCAUUUAAGUCUGGUUUGCUUAAUAUACUAGAACGAAAUGAGCAUUGUUGAAUCAUUGGAUAAAAAGUAACAACAUAUAUUGUUUUGUUUUCUGCAGUUAUUUCAGGGAAAGCAGCAGUUCUGUUGCAAUAGUUGUUCUAAGGCUGUACAUGAUGAUAUGUACUGGAGAUUGCAGGCCGUGACGGUGAUUUGGGAGAUUUUGCAUGAACACAAUUGCCGCAUUUUUCACAAUUUGGAGUUGUCGGCUACUAUGCUUGCAUGCCUUGCUGUUGACAAGCCAAUGUUGGAAGGAGGCCGACGAACCACACAUCAUUUUGUGAUAAUAAUCUAGCUUAGUGGUUCCCGGCUAUUCUAUCUGAUUUCCCUGUGUUUGUACAGUAUUCACUCGUAUCAAUGAAAUCAAUAGCUCUGUUAGGCUUAAGAAAAAGCUGUCUUGGAGCUCAGUUCA